CCUACGGGAGGCAGCAGUGGGGAAUAUUGGACAAUGGGGGGAACCCUGAUCCAGCCAUGCCGCGUGUGUGAAGAAGGCCCUCGGGUUGUAAAGCACUUUCAGUGAGGAAGAACGCCUGGUGGUUAAUACCCAUCAGGAAAGACAUCACUCACAGAAGAAGCACCGGCUAACUCCGUGCCAGCAGCCGCGGUAAUACGGAGGGUGCGAGCGUUAAUCGGAAUUACUGGGCGUAAAGCGCGCGUAGGUGGCUUGAUAAGCCGGUUGUGAAAGCCCCGGGCUCAACCUGGGAACGGCAUCCGGAACUGUCAAGCUAGAGUGCAGGAGAGGAAGGUAGAAUUCCCGGUGUAGCGGUGAAAUGCGUAGAGAUCGGGAGGAAUGCCAGUGGCGAAGGCGGCCUUCUGGACUGACACUGACACUGAGGUGCGAAAGCGUGGGUAGCAAACAGGAUUAGAUACCCCAGUAGUC
rnacentral:rRNA from 1 species